rnacentral:lncRNA from 1 species
AAAAAUUAAAACAUUAUAUAUUGCAGAUAGAUUGUAAAGUGGUGUAGCCAUUUUGAUAAGCAUUUGUCAAUUUCUCAAAAUAUUACACAUAUAUUUUCCCUGAAAUUCACUCAUAAAGUAUGUGAAAUUCCAAUUAAUAUAACAAGGGACUUUUUAAAGAAAUUAACAAGCUGAUUCUAAAAGAUACAUGAAAAUGGAAAUGACCUAUAAUUGUCAAACAGUUUGAAAAAAAAACAUAAUCAGCAGAUUAACAGUACUUGAUUUCAGGUCUCACAAGAAAAUUACAUUAGUAUAAAAUAUAGACAUUCAGAUUAAAGGGACAGAUUAGUCCAAAAAUGUAUCCCCACACAUGUAACUAUAACCUGAAUUUUAACAUAGUUUUCUAAUGUAAUUUAAAAUUUAAUUUAAUGUGACAAUAUAAUUUAACAGAAACAAAGAGAUUAUUCUAUCCCCAGAAUUCUAAUGGCAGUAUGCCAGCUAAGAAAACUAUUCAGUUGCAAAUCCAUCCAAACUUUCCAUGCCAAAAAAAAAGGAAAAAAAGAAAAGGAAGACCAAGACAGACUGCAGAAAAAAAAAGUCCACAGAGUGUAGUCAUGAAAAUUAUUCCUAGGCCUUGAGCCCUAAUCAAGGAACUUCUAAUAUUUCUCUGGCUGAAUUUCAGAAUUGCUAUGUACUCUUUUGUGUCUGCCAUUUUGCUGUUUUUGAAAAGGAAUAGCUGUAUUCAUUUUUCUAUGCUUGUAUCAGCAUUGCAUUUUGUAUUUUGGGGGGCAAAUAACAUUUCUUUGUAGCUUCACAGAACUACAGAUGAAGAGAAACUAUAUACAAGGACAUGGGCUUAAAUAUCUAGAAUUUAUAAACAGCACAACUCAACAAAAAGGCAAUUAGUCCAGUUAAAAAUGGACACAUCAACACCUGGGCUUGAAAUAGAUCAUGAGAUUCUGGACUUUGAGAUAACACUAUAAUGGGAUGAUACUUUUGGGGUACUUGGGUGAAGAGAAGUGUAUUUUGUGAGAGAAACAUGAAUCACUGAGGUGUCAGAGGGCAGUCUCUGGUAGGCAGCUAUUGGAAUUACCUCUAAUGUGUACUGUCUCCUGUCAUUUACACCCUUGUGUAAUGUCGUCUUUUUGAGUUUGGGUGGGACAUAGCGACUCCUUGUAAUAAGAUAAAAGUGAUGGAUGUCACUUGGAAAUAUAGGUUAUAAAAUGAUAUUGGCUUCUGUCAUGCUUACUCCCUCUUAUCAUCUAUCACUCUUUGUUGCUCUCUAUCUUGGAGCCCUCACUCAGGGCAGAAAGCUGCCAUGCAUGAGAAGCCCUAAGGAGAGGCUCACGUGGCAAGAAAACUGAUGACUCCAGUCCACAGCCAACAUGAACCUGAGGCCUGCCCAGAGACACACAGCAGCUAUAUAGUGAACAGUUACUAAGAACCAACUAACUGCAAAUACUAUUUAGGACUAUACCAUAUAAAAAUACGUGGAAAUCCAAAGACAAAUGGAAUAUCAUUCAGAACAAGAUCACAUCAGAAGUCUGAAAAGCCUUAAAACAAGACUCAGGAAACUGUCACCAUGUGAUAUGGACUCUUCUUAUUGUGCAAAGUCAAACUAAUGAACAAUUUUGGAUGGAGACCCAAAAAAUACAGUGGACACCACAAAACCAUAAUAAAAAAAAAUUUAAGGCUUUCCCUGUUCCUUCAUGAAUUGGAUAGCCAAUAGGAGCCCAUCUCCUCAUGCUGAUAUCUCAUCCCUGGACAGGAGAAUAUGAGGAAAUUUAGCCUAGCUCUGCAGCCCCUGUUUCCUUUUUCUACAUGUAUUAUGCUCAGAUACCUCCUCCUUGCACUAGAUCUGAUGCUGGCUUCGUUUACUGGCCAGGAAGGAUAUUCAAAACUCUCUUUCACAAAUGAUGUCUCUGCACACACACAAGAUUUCAUCCACCUGGCUAGGAAUAAAAUACAGUUUGCAUUAUAUAAAAUAAGUUUAAUAAUAUAUGUGAGAAUACUUUAAAAAUUUUUAUAUUAAUACAUGAGGUAGAUACUAUGCCAUUUAAUAGAGGGAAAACUGAGACUAUGGAAAGAUCAAUAAUCUGAUCGAGGUAGGACAACAAGUUAAUAGCAGACAGAGACUCACAUUAA